GACGAACGCUGGCGGCGUGCCUAAUACAUGCAAGUAGAACGCUGAAGGAGGAGCUUGCUCUUCUGGAUGAGUUGCGAACGGGUGAGUAACGCGUAGGUAACCUGCCUGGUAGCGGGGGAUAACUAUUGGAAACGAUAGCUAAUACCGCAUAAGAGUAGAUGUUGCAUGACAUUUGCUUAAAAGGUGCAAUUGCAUCACUACCAGAUGGACCUGCGUUGUAUUAGCUAGUUGGUGGGGUAACGGCUCACCAAGGCGACGAUACAUAGCCGACCUGAGAGGGUGAUCGGCCCCACUGGGACUGGGACACGGCCCAGACUCCUACGGGAGGCAGCAGUAGGGGAUCUUCGGCCAUGGACGGAAGUCUGACCGAGCAACGCCGCGUGAGUGAAGAAGGUUUUCGGAUCGUAAAGCUCUGUUGUAAGAGAAGAACGAGUGUGAGAGUGGAAAGUUCACACUGUGACGGUAUCUUACCAGAAAGGGACGGCUAACUACGUG
rnacentral:rRNA from 1 species